rnacentral:rRNA from 1 species
AUACGGAGGGUGCGAGCGUUAAUCGGAAUUACUGGGAGUAAAGCGUACGUAGGCGGUUGGUUAAGUUAGAUGUGAAAGCCCCGGGCUUAACCUGGGAACUGCAUUUAAAACUGGCGAACUAGAGUUGAGUAGAGGGGAGUGGAAUUUCAGGUGUAGCGGUGAAAUGCGUAGAGAUCUGAAGGAACACCAGUGGCGAAGGCGACUCCCUGGACUCGAACUGACGCUGAGGUACGAAAGCGUGGGUAGCAAACGGGAUUAGAAACCCCAGUAGUCC